rnacentral:misc_RNA from 1 species
AAGGAGCACAUAGCCGACUGCAAGCAAAUGUCUUGCACGGUUGCUCAUGGGUGGAACGUUGACUACUCGGCACGGUUUUCUUAUGGAUCACUAGUACUGCUUCGGCGUGGAACGUGAUUGCUGAGAGGGGAUUCGUGUCGGGCACGCUGUUGGGUAUCUGAGGGAAUGAGUUUCCUUCAGUUGCCGGCCCCAGUGCACUCGGGAGUUUUUCCCGGGGUGAUGGGUGGUUGGUCGUUGUUUGAGAACUGCACAGUGGACGCGAGCAUCUGU